UCACCUGCCAGUGUGCCCCCAGCCGCUCUCCUGCCCGCCCGCUUCCUGCCUUCGCUCCCCCACGGUGGGCCCCGCACCCCCGCACCCCUAAGCCCUGCCCGGCCCCCGUGAGGAAGCAAGAGGCACAGCCCGGAGCCCCUGCCUCCUGUCAACCCGCGGCCUUUGCGGGUCUGGGCCGCCCGGGGAGACUGGGGUGGGCUCCGGCCGGGCACCGGCGCCCGUCUCCUCCGACAGCUGAGCUAGGCCUCGUCUGGCCUCCCAAACGACCCCCUCCCCGACGUCCCAGGCCAUUGGACCCCCGGCUCUGCCUUUCUCCUCCUGCCCUGUCCACGUGUUGGCGUCGGGGGCUGGACCUCCGGAGGGGAGGGUGACACCUUCCUCCGGGCCUGGGAGGAGGGAGCGAGCUGGUCACGGGCACCUCCCCUUGCGGCGACGCGGUAAGGAGAGAAGGAAGUCCCUUCUCGCGGAGCUCUCAUUGCAGCCGGCGACAGACAAGAAACAGGACAGCGGCAAACAGUGACGACGCCCGGCGGGGACAGGCGUCGUGAAGGAAGCAGCAGAGGAAGCUGAGACGGGCUGGCUGCGGAGGGGAGACCGGACGGAGACCACCCCGAGCUCCAGCUCCGCAAAGGGACCGCGCUGCGAGCGGCCUCACUGCCAAGGACAAAGGCCCUGAGGGGGGAAGAGCUGGGGGGCUCCAGGGUCCCCUCCGGGCGGGCCGGGGUGACCUGCCGGAGGCGGAGCGCGGCCCGGGCCGUGAGCCGAGAACCCGCGUGGCCCGGACCCGGACGCGCCCUCUGGCGGCCGUGCGAGGAUCGACCAGGUGGCUCCGCUGCAGGGUCCCGAGCCGAGCUGGCGGCGGAAGGUGUAUAUUUCGUAGCGUCUAAACGAUUUGCUGAUGGAUCUAGAACGAUUCCAGGCUCAUUCUUGACAACUUGACAAAUGCAGGUGUCACUUAACCAGGAGCCGGUGACGGUGAUGGAGGGGGGUCUUGGAAUCGAGGUUCCAUCCUGGACAUGGGGUUGAGAAGCCUGUGAGGUAGCAGAGCAUUUGCUAUGAACUGAAUGUUUAUGUUCCAAAAAUUCACCUUGAAACCUGGCCCCCAAGGGGACGGUAUUUGGAGGAGGGGCUUUGGGAAGUGAUCAGGUCACCAGGAUGUGAAUGGAGCCCUCAGAACAGAAUUGGUGCUGCUAUAAAGAGCACCACAGGGCACACUGACAGAAGAGAGCCAUCCCUCGCAGACAGACUCGCCAACACCCUGAUCUUGGACUUCCAGCCCCCAGAACAGCGAGAAGUGAAUUUCUGUUUUUUCCAUUUUGUCAUAGCAGCCUGAACGGACUAAUACAGUGUUGACUGGUUGAUGGAUUGACUGAUUGAAAUGGCAUAAUAUUUGGGAUUUAUUUUACCCCAGCUCUAUUAAGGUGGCCUCUCUGUCGGCUCUUCCCUUUGCCUGCUCAGACCAAGGCCGCAAGCCUUCCUCCUGUUUUCUUCCAGCGGCUUUCCACAUUUAAGUCUGCCAUCCACUGGAGCCCAUUGUUGUGCAUCACCAGAGGGCCGAGCAGGCUGGGUUCACAUCCGCCGCCUCCUCUCACCGGCUGUGGGGCCACAACAAGCGGCUUCACCUCUCACCUGCGCUGACCGCGGCACCUCCCCAAGGAGCUGAGAUGACGUGGGACACCCAGAAGGAGCCCGGCAAGUCCCAGGCGCUUGCGAACGGCCAGGCUGCCGUUGGCCUGAGUCUCUUUUCCCUUUUCAUCUUUAAUCUCUCUCCCCUUCUCUAGGGGGCUCCUCUGCUCUUUCUCCAAUAUCUUCGACUUUUUUUUUUUGGGGGGGGGGCUGCCCCUCACACACAGGCUCUCCCAUUGCCUUAGCCCUUUUCUGUUACUAUAAUGAAAUAACUGGACACUGA